GAGGAGACAUGGGAAGGAGGUGAAGAUGGCCGACGAGUGGUCCCAGAGGCUGUAAACUGGAGGAGAGAUGGGAAGGCGGUCGAAGUCGGUGUAAGAGAGUCCUCGGGCCUGUUCCGUUCAAACACUGUUGAAGCAAGACACAGGUCCGCGGG